GAUGAACGCUGGCGGCGUGCCUAACACAUGCAAGUCGAACGGACUUACAUUGAAGCCUAGCGAUAUGUAAGUUAGUGGCGGACGGGUGAGUAACGCGUGGGUAACCUGCCUUGUACUGGGGGACAACAGUUGGAAACGACUGCUAAUACCGCAUAAGCGCACAGCUUCGCAUGAAGCAGUGUGAAAAACUCCGGUGGUACAAGAUGGACCCGCGUCUGAUUAGCUGGUUGGUGAGGUAACGGCCCACCAAGGCGACGAUCAGUAGCCGGCCUGAGAGGGUGAACGGCCACAUUGGGACUGAGACACGGCCCAAACUCCUACGGGAGGCAGCAGUGGGGAAUAUUGCACAAUGGGGGAAACCCUGAUGCAGCAACGCCGCGUGAGUGAAGAAGUACUUCGGUAUGUAAAGCUCUAUCAGCAGGAAAGAAAAUGACGGUACCUGACUAAGAAGCCCCGGCUAACUACGUGCCAGCAGCCGCGGU
rnacentral:rRNA from 1 species